GUCCCUGUGGUGCAGUGGCAGCACGUAUGUUUCCGGAGCAUGAGCUCCAGGUUCGAUUCCUGGCAGGGACU
rfam:Thecamonas trahens ATCC 50062 unplaced genomic scaffold supercont1.38, whole genome shotgun sequence.